CCCUUAGAUGUUCUGGGCUGCACGCGCGCUACACUGAUGCGUUCAACGAGUAUAUAACCUUAUCCGACAGGAUUGGGUAAUCUUUUGAAAACGCAUCGUGAUGGGGAUAGAUUAUUGCAAUUAUUAAUCUUCAACGAGGAAUUCCUAGUAAGUGCGCAUCAUCAGUUCGCACUGAUUACGUCCCUGCCCUUUGUACACACCGCCCGUCGCUCCUACCGAUUGGUUGCUCCGGUGAAUAAUUCGGACGGAUUCACUUGCUGGUUCGCCGGUUUGAGAGUCUGAAAGUCUAGUAAACCUUAGCAACUAGAGGAAGGAGAANUCGUAACA
rnacentral:rRNA from 1 species